ACCACACUCAACAAUUUGUUAGCGUACUGUAUACACAACUACUGUACUGAGCAAACCACACUCACCAACCUGUUAGCGUACUGUAUAAAACUAUAAAGUACUGUAAUCUACAAGCAAAGAAGAUGGCUUCAAGGCAAUAUACAGCUGACGACUUAUACCUGGCAGCGUCUACCCGACAAUGGGAUGAAGUAAGACUCCUUAUUAGAGCCGCGCCUGAACUCGUAAAUGAGAAAUUGAGAGCUAUACUUCUUUAUGGACUAGGCGUACAUAGUACACUGAUACAACUUGUUUAAAAAUCAAAGUUAUUCGUUAUAAUUAGCGUGAGCUUAUCAUGCAUAGCUAGGCCUGCUGGUCAAAAGAUAUUUGGUAGCAUUCUUUAAACCUAUCAAAUAAUG